rnacentral:lncRNA from 1 species
CGGACGGGCUGUGGGAGCUGCCGGUGGAGCCGGCCGAGCGGAGGCCUGAGUGCACCCGCUGCAGCCGGCCUCAGAAAGUGUGUUUGUGUCCAUUUCUCCCAGCGCACCCUCUGCAUAUCUCUACCCACUUGUACAUAAUUCAGCAUCCAGCAGAGGAAAACAAAGUGUUGCGUACAGUUCCUCUACUAGCAGCAUGCCUCCCCCAGGACAAGUGUAAAGUGAAGAUCGGUCGUCGCUUCAGUGAAGAAAGAGAUCCUGAACUUUCAACUGUUUGCCGGAAGUCUGGUACAUUAAUAUUAUAUCCAGGGGCUGAAGCUGCUAAUUUGGAAGAAUUUAUAUUAGAUUCUCCUGUUUAUCCUUCUACAAUCAUCAUCAUUGAUGGUACAUGGAGCCAGGCUAAGGACAUUUUCUAUAAGAACUCCUUGUUCCGACAUCCCAAACAGCAAGAAGACUUCCAUUUGCAAGCCAGGAAGAGAGCUCUCACCAGGACCGUGACCAUGCAGGUGCAAUUAAAAACUAGCAUUUCUAGUCAGUAUGUAAUUCGGAUGCAGCCGACUAAUAGAUGCCUUUCUACACUGGAGUGUGCAGCUGUUGCUCUUUCCAUCUUGGAGAAAAAUAAUUACAUACAAGAGACUUUGCUUCGCCCUCUUCAAGCUUUAUGCUCCUUUCAACUUCAGCAUGGUGCCCAAAUUCGCCUCAGCAAGGAACACCUUCUGAAAAAUGGAUUAUAUCCUAAACCAAUGCCAAAGAACAAACGCAAACUCAGGAAAAUGGAAUUGUUAAUGAAUAGUGUUAAAAUUUAGUACAGUUAUUCUUUUGGUGCUAGCUUAACUGUCUUCAUCUAACAAUACCAAAUUAAGUUUUCAUAUAGUUAAGGUCUGUAGGUUUUUGACUUGCUAAAGAAGGAGAAUUGCAUACUAAUCUUACCCAGAAGAAGGAAGUAAACCAAAUAUUCAUAAAUACAAAUAAACAGAAAUUCACUGGCUCACUGAAAAGCAGGAUUUCCUACUGUACUUGUUUUUAAAAAUGUGCCUCUAAUACAUGUUUUCAAACCCAAAUUUAAAAUAUGAUUUGUUGUUGUGAUAGGUUAGAAGUUCUUACUUGUAAAAUAGAAGAAAAUUGUUGUAGUGGAUUGGAACGGUGUUGUGUCCAUUAAUGUUUAUAAAUAAUUAGGUGUAGACCAAUAAUAUAAGAUUCCUACAUCAGUUUGCAGUCCUGACUUUACAGUUUGAAAUAAGUAGCAAAAGAAAAUUAUGAUAAUCAAGUAAUUUAUUAUUUUGUAAAAUAGUAUAAAGGAAUAAGGAAAUUUUAAGUAUUGUUUAGGGGCCAAAUUUGAACUCAGCUAAUAUGAUUUAAGCGCUCUAUUAAUUGCCCUGAUUUUUAAAGAGGUGCAUGUAAUUUUGAAAUAGCACACAUUUUCAUUUGUAAUCACUCUGGAUAAAUUUGUAUUUUUCAGUGUUCAUUGAACAGGCUUAUUGACUCUGGUAAACUUAUUUUAUUGAUGUUUUCAUAUGGAAAAUAAUAAGUGGAAUAUGAUACAAUUGUUAUUUUCAGAACAUAUUUCUUUAGGGCUAUUUAAUAUAACCUUUUUAACGAGCAAAAACUUUCCAUUUGAGAGAAAAAAUUCUUCCUGCUCUGUGGGAAAAUAUUUGCUGAGAUUUUGUAUAGAAUAAGAGACAUGUAUGUAACAUAUAUGUAUAUUCAGCACAAGUCUACUGCAAUUAUGUACACAUUUUGGCAGGAAGAGGGGAUUUUGUUUAGUCUUUGUUUAUGAGUUCUAGAGUUUCCUGUAUCUAGUGUUAAGUUGUAAGGAAAAACUAAACAUGCCAUUUAAAGGUAAACUUGGUAACUAUUUAUAGAGCAUACACCAAUGAUUAUUUCUCACAGUUUUCAUGAUCAUUUGUUUAUUAUUUACUUGGAUUAGACUCAUUAAAAGGUAUAAUGCUGGUCACAAUUAGAAUGCUAAUAUUUGGGGAAACUAUGCAGAAAAUAUUUUAAAAUAUUAAAAGAGUGCUGGCUUCUAUUGUUGAUUUAUUUUUGGAUUUAAAAACAAAUUAGGGCUGGGCCCAUUAGCUCACACCUGUAAUCCCAGCACUUUGGGAGGCUGAGAUGUGAGAAUUGCUUGAGCCCAGGAGUUUGAGACCAGCCUGGGCAAUAUGGUGAGACUCCAUCUCCAUACAAAAUUAAAAAAAAAAUAAUUAGCCAGAUGUGGUGGUGUGCACUUGUAGUCCUAGCUACUUGGGAGGCUAAGGUGGGAGGAUCGCUGGAGCCCAGGACAUCAAGGUUGCAAGGAGCUAUGUUCAUUCCACUGCACUCCAGCCUGGGCUACAGAGUGAGACCUGUCUAAAAUAAAUAAAUAAAUAAACAAACUAGCUCAUUUACAAUGUAAAGCACUUAAUAUCAAAUGAUUAUUUGGUGUACUAGAAAAGAAACAGCAUAUAAUAAUGUAUAAUAGUUUCUUAACAAGUGGGGCUAAAAUCAUUUUGUAGUAAUUUUUCACAUUGAUAUUAAACUUCAUGAGUUUCUUUUAGUCAUUAUUAUUAUUAUUAUUAUUAUUUGAGAUGGAAUCUCGCUCUGUCGCCCAGGCUGGAGUGCAGUGGCGCAAUCUUGGCUCACUGAAAGCUCUGCCUCCUGGGUUCACGCCAUUCUUCUGCCUCAGCCUCCUGAGUAGCUGGGACUACAGGUGCCCACCACCACGCCCGGCUAAUUUUUUGUAUUUUUAGUAGAGAUGGGGUUUCACCGUAUUAGCCAGGAUGGUCUCGAUCUCCUGACCUCGUGAUCUGUCUGCCUUGGCCUCCAAAAGUGCUGGGACCGUGCCCAGCCAUCAUUAUUAUUUUUUAAAAAGAAAACUCCCCCUACCCCCAGUAUACCAUUUUGUAUCUCAAAAUUUUACUUUAUUGAUUUUUAAGAGUAAUUUCUACUUUUAUCUUUUAAAUAAAACAUUUUAGAGUAUUUUUGAAGACUUAAAAAGCUUAAAAUUUAGUGUUUUUGGAAAUGUAUAAAAUUUUCUUGAAGUAUGUAUAGUUUUCCAAAUUACUUUACUGACCUGUUAACUCACUGUACUUGUUUUUUACUUAUUUUUUCCUGACCUCUUAACAAGGUGAGUCCAUUUAAUCAUCUGUGGUAUAAAAUGCUUCUCUAGUCACCUGUUCUCAUUAAACAGUUGUAAGUAAGUUUUAAAAGCCAUUAUUUUAAUUACUAAAAGUUCUCAAGUGUGUAGUAUUAUCUGAGUAUUUUAAUUGAAAAAUUAAUCAGGCUUUUAAAAAUUACUUUUUUAUUGUAUUAGUUGGCUUUUAAAUUCAGAUUCUUUAUAUUUGCUUGAUUUUUCCUGGAAGUUCCAAGUUUUAUGAAUUUGUAGCUGAUAGUAGGUUUUACUUGUGUACCCCAUCUGCACUUUGAUGUUGUGUAGAUCGUUUUGUGAGUUAUUUGAACCGUGUAACUCAGAGAAUAGUAUUUCCUCAUACAUAAAGUGACCUCACUUUUAAUCAGCUCCUUUAUAGUAUGUUGAAAAUCACUGCGUGUAAUGAGAGGUAUUGAGAGUUUCUUGCACACAUGAGUGUAAAAGGUUGAGAACUAGAUUAUACAAAGUAGUAAGUCACAGUGCAUGGCAACUUUCUACAGGUUGGAUUAUAAGACUUAUGUGGAAUAGGAGAAUUAUAUUGGGAAAAAAUUAUUUUCUCUAACUUGAAGACUCCAGAGACACUUUUCUUAGUCAUGACCAGUAAUAUUUUUCAUAUAUUUUGGAAGAAAUAAGCUCCUCACUAUACCACCAGUUAGUGAUUUAUUUAUUUAUGUAUUUUAGAGACAGGGCCUCCUUCUGUCACCCAGUUUGGAGUGCAGUGGUGUAAUCAUAGCUUACUGCAGCAUCAAACUCCUGGGCUCAAGUGUUCCUCCUGCCUCAGCCUCCCAAGUAGCUAGAACCUCAGCCCCAUGCCACCACACUCAGCUAAUUUUAAAUUUUACUAAUUUCAUUUAAUUUUUGUGGAGAUGGGGGUCUUGCUGUGUUGUUUAGGCUGGUCCUGAACUCCUGGCCUCAAGCGAUCCUUCUGCCUUGGCCUCUCAGUAAAUUAUAUAGAAGAGCACUUCUGUAUAAUUUACUCAGUUUCUUCAUCACAUAUUUCCAACUGUUGCCCUAAAUAGGUUUAAAAAUGUGAUCAUGUUAUUAGAAAAUCCUUUCCAUUGAAUUUCAGGGAUGCUGAAUUUCAGGGAGCUAAAUUGUUGACCCUUGCCUGUAGUUGUUAUUGGUUCAGAAGUAAAUUUUAUUGAUGCUACAAGUAAAAAAUUAGAUCUGACUUAGUAAACUCAAAAGUUUUACAAAACUGUAUUUUACUAUGUAGAUGUAUUUCUUUAAAAUAGGUAUGGAUGGAUAUUUUUAUGAAUAAAUAAUAUUGCAUUAUAGAUGGAAUGAAACUUUGCAUUUAAUUUGCCCCAUAAGUAGGCUUUUUGUAGAAUGAAUUACUCUCUUAAAUUGUCCAAUCUAAAUUUUUAUUAGCUACAUUAACUUAAAGCAUAUUCUCUCUCUUUUCUCUUCACACUUUCUUCCUCCUUCCCAGGGUCUUCCUCUCCCUCUUUCAUCACCUACAUUGUUCCCCUUCCCUUUUAUACUAUUCUUAUUGUAUGUACUAGCUGUUGUUAUUUAUACAAAUACUCAUACAUCCUUACAUAGCAUGUUUUUAAACAAAAGAUACUGUAGUGGUCUUAACAGUUUACAAUUUUAUAUUUAAAAAUUAUUCAGGAAAUCUGGAAAUCCCUGACUUUUUACACCGUGCUGAUCACUUGACUCCUGUCUUAGUCCAUUCUGGCUGCUCUCUCAGAAUACCAGAGACUGGAUAGCUUAUAAAAAACAGAAAUUUAUUUCUUCUAAGUCUGGAGGCUGGGAAAUACAAUAUCAAGGUGCCAGCAGAUUUGGUGUCUGGUGAGGGGCCCACUCACUGGUUCAUAGAUGGUGCAUUCUAGCUGUGUCUUCACCUAGUGGAAGGGUCGAGCUAGCUCUCUGAGACCCUUAUGACCUAAUCAUCCCCCAAAGGUUCCACUUCCUAAUACUAUACCUCGGGAAUUAAGGUUUCAACCUGUGAGUUUUGUGGGGACACAAAUAUUCAGACCAUAGCAACUCCUGUACUCUACUAAAAAGCAUAUUAGAGAAAUAAGUAAUUGUUUUUCAAUUUUUAAGAAUUAUUCACUUGAGCCAAGCGUGGUGGCUCACAUCUGUAAUUCCAGCACUUUGGGAGGCCGAGGUGGGUAGAUCACGAGGUCAGGAGUUCAAGACCAGCCUGGCCAAGAUGGUGAAACCUCAUCUGUACUAAAAAUACAAAAAUUAGCCAGGCGUAGUGGCAGGCACCUGUAAUCCCAGCUACUCAGGAGGCUGAGGCAGAGAAUUGCUUGAACCUGGGAGGCAGAGGUUGCAGUGAGCUGAGAUGUACCACUGCACUCUAGCCUGGGCGACAGAGUGAGACAGUGUCUCAAAUAAAUAAAUAAAUAAAUAAAAAUAAGAUUCACUUGAACUAACAACGUAAGAAUUAUUUUUAAAAGAAACUUUUUAAUGUAAGGUUUUUUAAAAAAAUUAUUCGAAUAAGAAAUUU